GUGCUUGCUUGGGCAGCACAUAUACUAAAAUUGGAACGAUAUAGAGAAGAUUAGCAUGGCCCCUGCACAAGGAUGACACGUAAAAUAUGUGCACAUGCUAAUCACUGCU